UCAUGAAGUAUUUUAUGAUCUAAUUGAUGAACUAAAGAAGCAAGGGAUAAAGAACAAAGAAUUAAAAUCAAAGAAUCAAUUUUUACUAAAAGAAAAUGAGAAUAUUUCAAAUGAAAAAUCAAUCCUAUCUCAAGAAAAUCUGAACUUAAAAAUUAAGAUUGCCAAGUUAAAAUCAAAGGUUAAGAAGUUCACUUUAAGUUCAAAUAAGCUUUACAUGAUAUUUGACAAUCAAAAGGCC
rnacentral:lncRNA from 1 species